rnacentral:rRNA from 1 species
AUUGAACGCUGGCGGCAGGCCUAACACAUGCAAGUCGAGCGGAUGAAGGGAGCUUGCUCCUGGAUUCAGCGGCGGACGGGUGAGUAAUGCCUAGGAAUCUGCCUGGCAGUGGGGGAUAACGUCCGGAAACGGGCGCUAAUACCGCAUACGUCCUGAGGGAGAAAGUGGGGGUUCUUCGGACCUCACGCUAUCAGAUGAGCCUAGGUCGGAUUAGCUAGUUGGUGGGGUAAAGGCCUACCAAGGCGACGAUCCGUAACUGGUCUGAGAGGAUGAUCAGUCACACUGGAACUGAGACACGGUCCAGACUCCUACGGGAGGCAGCAGUGGGGAAUAUUGGGCAAUGGGCGAAAGCCUGACCCAGCCAUGCCGCGUGUGUGAAGAAGGUCUUCGGAUUGUAAAGCACUUUAAGUUGGGAGGAAGAACAGUAAGAUAAUACCUUGCUGUUUUGACGUUACCAACAGAAUAAGCACCGGCUAACUUCGUG